AUUGAACGCUGGCGGCAGGCCUAACACAUGCAAGUCGAACGAGCGGCGGACGGGUGAGUAAUGUCUGGGAAACUGCCCGAUGGAGGGGGAUAACUACUGGAAACGGUAGCUAAUACCGCAUACUAUCGGAUGUGCCCAGAUGGGAUUAGCUAGUAGGUGGGGUAACGGCUCACCUAGGCGACGAUCCCUAGCUGGUCUGAGAGGAUGACCAGCCACACGGGAACUGAGACACGGUCCAGACUCCUACGGGAGGCAGCAGUGGGGAAUAUUGCGCAAUGGGGGCAAGCCUGAUGCAGCCAUGCCGCGUGUAUGAAGAAGGCCUUCGGGUUGUAAAGUACUUUCGGCGGGGAGGCGUUACCCGCAGAAGAAGCACCGGCUAACUCCGUGCCAGCCGCCGCGGUAAUUC
rnacentral:rRNA from 1 species